UAGAGGCCCAGCAGAGGGAAACAUAUGUUGGCUUCAGUGACCCACUCGUUCCUUGAGGACAACACCUAUUUCGACCUAAGAGCAACCCCGGAGGGCUAUGGACUUUAAACAAUGUUCUGAACAGGCUCAUCUCAGGGGACAAAGCAGGUGGUGAUCAGAGAUCGCAGAGACCUCAGAAGAAUUUUAUGGCAUUCCAGGCAGGACACGGACCAGCCUGGGGAAAAGAAGAAAUAAGAGCUGGAGAUACAGGGAAUACUAUUAGGAAGUUAUUUCUGAAGAGAAACAAUGGGCCUGAGCAGCAGCCUGCCAAACCAUAAUCAACAGGAGCCCUGCAAGCCUCAGGAGCAAUGGCGACAUCUUUCCAGUGAAACCUGCCGGCCAACUUCAGUGUCUGGAACUUUAAUGAUGACCAUGAGAAGGACAGUUGUUUACAAAAAGAACAGGAAAACUGUGGAUGAAACACCCUUAUAUCCCCACAAAUGCACUCUCCGCUCAGGGCUGAGGAUGGAAAACCCACUCACAAGAUAAUCUGCUCCAUUUUGGUACAGACCAGCUUUAACUCUACCUAACCAUUUUGGUUUUAAAACUUCUCCCAAUUAAGAGAUGGGGAAAUGAUAGAAGAGGAAAGCAUACUUGGAAAUGCAAACUGAUCCAGGAAAUCUUCACUUUCAUUCAUUGUAAAUGCCUAACAAAGGCUUUUCUUUUCCUAAGUUGAAGGAAUAGCCACAUGCUAUGGAGGUGGCUUGCUCAUCCUUCCUGCGACUGCUUUGUUGGCUCAGGGCCCAGCGUGAAUUUGGUAAUACUGGGCAAGGCCACAUCUGUGUGCCGGCCUGCAUGGCAUCUCUAUUUUUGCAGCCAUUAAAUAGCUUCUCCCAUCUCCAGUCUGUGUUGCUGCACAUGUGACCCAAUGAAUCCCCUGUAGAAUGAAGCCAUAAUAAUGGGCAGGGCAAUUAGCUCAAGGAUAUCGGGCCUUCCUAGCAGCCUCUUGCCCAUGUUAAUAUUUGCAAUGUAUCCUGGGCGGGGUGCUUCUGAGAAUUCCACUAAUGCCCCAUUACCAUCCCUGAGGCUGGAAACCAUGGGGAAAGAGAUCCGUUUCCUUCCUGCCCAAGAUGAAUGUUGUGAAGGGCAAUUGAGGGGGUUGGGAGUGCCUCCAAAUAAAGGUCUUUUAUGCAUCUUUAAA